AGACCGUUCUCUUUCGAGGCCGGUCAUCGGAAUGGGUACAAUUUAAACCCUUUAACGAGUAUCUAUGAGAGGGCAAGUCUGGUGCCAGCAGCCGCGGUAAUUCCAGCUCUCAAAGUGCAUAGAAUUAUUGCUGCGGUUAAAAAGCUCGUAGUUGGAUCUGUGCCAUAGGACGGGGUCCACCUUCGGGUGCGUACUCCGCUCCUAGGCUUUUUGCUGGUUUUCCCGUCGUAGCCUUCACUGGUUGCGGCGGGUGGCUGGCGAGUUUACUUUGAGAAAAUCAGAGUGCUCAAUACAGGCGUCUAGCUUGAAUGAUUGUGCAUGGAAUAAUAGAAAAGGAUUUCGGUCCUCUUUUAUUGGUUUUGUGGACUGAGAUAAUGGUUAACAGGGACAAACGGGGGCAUUCGUAUCGCUGCGUGAGAGGUGAAAUUCUUGGACCGUAGCGAGACGCCCUACUGCGAAAGCAUUUGCCAAGAAUGUCUUCAUUAAUCAAGAACGAAAGUCAGAGGUUCGAAGGCGAUCAGAUACCGCCCUAGUUCUGACCGUAAACGAUGCCAACUAGCGAUCCGCCGGUGGAUUUUUAGCCCUGGUGGGUAGCUUCCCGGAAACGAAAGUCUUCCGGUUCCGGGGGAAGUAUGGUUGCAAAGCUGAAACUUAAAGGAAUUGACGGAAGGGCACCACCAGGAGUGGAGCCUGCGGCUUAAUUUGACCCAACACGGGGAAACUCACCCGGCCCGGACACCGUAAGGAUUGACAGAUUGAUAGCUCUUUCAUGAUUCGGUGGUUGGUGGUGCAUGGCCGUUCUUAGUUCGUGGAUCGAUUUGUCUGGUUUAUUCCGAUAACGAGCGAGACUCUAGCCUACUAAAUAGUAACGAGAUUGCCAUUGUCUUAGUUGCUUCUUAGAGGGAUUUUCGGUGUUUAGCCGCACGAGAUUGAGCAAUAACAGGUCUGUGAUGCCCUUAGAUGUCCGGGGCUGCACGCGCGCUACACUGGCGAAAUCAGCGUGCUGUAUCCAUUCUCGAAAGAGAUUGGUAAACCCAUGAAAAUUUGCCGUGCUUGGGAUCGGAAAUUGCAAUUAUUUUCCGUGAACGAGGAAUUCCAAGUAAGUGCGAGUCAUCAACUCGCUCUGAUUACGUCCCUGCCCUUUGUACACACCGCCCGUCGCUGCCCGGGACUGAGCCAUUUCGAGAAGAUCAGGGACCGGUGGGCUGUGGCCUCUUCGGAGGUUCGGUCCGUUGGAAACUGAUUUGAUCGCAGUGGCUUGAACCGGGCAAAAGUCGUAACAAGGUAGCCGUAGGUGAACCUGCGGCUG
rnacentral:rRNA from 1 species